GAAACUGGAAAGGCUAGCAGAAAUCAGGACAGAACUAUUUCGUUUUAGCUUUUGGCAUCUUAUUAAAAAAACACCUUUUGAUGAAAAAUUGUUCUGCAUGAGAAAACAAAAUAUCGCAGUGAAUGUUUUGACUCCUUUUCAUGGCUUUUUUAAUGAACUUAAAUAAAGUCCAGAAAGUUGUACAAAAUAGUACCAUGAUGUCCCCAUGCCACUCUUUCUCCUUCUGCUUGCUCCAAAAGCACACUAUGAAAAAAAUCCUCUGGCUUUCCUCUGAGGUUUCCAGUUUAGGACCAAAGUACACGCUUCAGCUUUGUCUCUGUUGCCCAGACUGGCAUGAGCUGCUGCUAUGUAGUCCUGACACGCCGAAUUUGUCCUCACUGACACAUCGGGGCGUGAGGCUGCGCUGGCUGGCAGCAUGCAUGGUAUUUACAGAGAUGCUGCCUUGCAGAGCCAUGUUCCGGUGUGCUUGUGCUCAUCACCUGUGUGUGCAGCUGUAGUAGGGUAAGGCCACGACUGCAGGGACUUCGGUGGCAGAGCUUUUAAGGGAGACCAGUCAAAGCUUUUGUUUUAUAAGAUCCAAACCUUCUAAUUUCUUACUAACAAAGCCUCUGCUUUUAUCUAUGAGGUGAGCGUGAAAGAAAACUUUAGAACAAUGACUCCUAUGGCAUCUGCCAAUAUUUUCAUUUUAGCUUAAUGGGGGAUUUAAAUUAUUAUUGAGUCCUAUUUUAAGAGAGGAAAGAAAGCAAAUGCAUAGAAAUUUGAUUAUAUUGAGCCUCUAACUGCAUAAACACAGUACUAGCCUCAGUGGACUAAUUCCAUUAAGACUUGAACUAUCUGUCUUGAAGUUGCUCGUGAAUACAAACUGCCAGAACUGCUGCCAUUGCUGGGUUUGCACAACAACUUGUACAUUUUUGUGUCAGACAAUAAAGCCAGAUUUAUUUAGAGAGAUAUUAAAAUAAACAGGUUUAAUAAUAUAUUUAAAAACUUCAUUGUUACUCGUAUGUUGUUUCUCUUUGCUUGAAUAAUAUUCUUUAUUAUAGCUGUAUAUUACCUUCAAAAUGCCUCUUGCUCUGAACCUUGCAAGCGCUGAAUCUGUAAAUAUGUGAUCUGUAGCACAGCGAGGUGGAGAAUUUUAAUUCGCACAGCAGAAAGGUCCGUUUCAGUAUUUUACCUAUCCAAACUGUGCUCUAGAUUGCCGUUUUUUUAAUUCUACCUAUCUUUUAGGUAACUCUUUUCUAUCUAACAUAUUGCUGCUGAGGUUUGGGAGCCAUUAGGGAAGAUCUGCCCAAUUAGCAUGUUAAUUAGGACCUACCCAAUUCAGGGAUAGGGAGGUGAUUGUUUUAUUAGCAUUCUGUGAGAUGAAAGAAAGAUUAAUGACUGUGCCUGCACCUCUUGAGGGGUAUAAAAGUAACACUUGUUAUGUGAGAUAUCUGCGUGUGAGAGGAGGUAUUUGAAAUGGCUGGGCUUACUGAGGGAGUUGCCUGCUGCCUAGCUACGCCUGAAGCAGAGAAAAGUAUAAUUGAGUUUCUUUCUUAGUGAGGGGGAAAUGAUAAUACAAAGCAAACAUAACAGAGCUGUUACAAGUAAGUGAAAUCCCAUUAACAGAUUGGUAUCAACUAAAGCUUUGGUCCCUUCAGCUGGGCAAGCUUAGCAGUGGGCUGGCAGGACAAGAUUCACGGCUGUUACAUGCACUCGUAUAUAUAUGUAGCUACGUAGAUGCCGCACUGCUGUGAAUGGAUAAGGUUGGUUUGUAACCAGCGAAGUUGUACCUCUCUUCCAGAUGCUGUGCUUUCCCAUGGCCACAUACUCCCGUAUAGCCACAGAGUCUGACCCAUGGAUAUGUUGAAUAGAUUAUGCCCAGGGUGUAAAAAUUCAAAGGGCCUAAAAUAAAGCCUUGGGGGAGGGGGCAGCCUGCAAAAAAAAAAAAAAAUGAGGUCAUGUACACAGAUGUGAAAAAGUGAUGGUCUUUUCAGUCCUGCUCUGAAGCACUGUGUGCUGCUCUUCCAACCUCACCAUGGAAGUUCCUGGUCCCAGGAUCCAGCCCAUCAGCGAGGAGUGUGGGAGACUGAAAGCUGCAAUGGGUAUGAAGUAUUCCAAGGCCUAAAGAAGGGCAGGAAGAAACAGCUCUGACUAAAUCUUUGUAAUGUCCUGAAAUCUCUCUGUGAACCUGGUUUUGUGUAUGAUGUAUGGUUGCCUAAACAACCAUCAUACCAUUUCUGGGACUUGAGCUGUAAAGAUGUUCUUUGUUCUGUAGUUAUAGCUUAAACUUGGAUUUUAAGUAAAGCUGUAUGUGAUAGUGUGUGAUAAUACCAAUGAAUCCAGAGGGAGGAUUACUUCCCAGAAGCUCCUCUGGGCUCUUUCAGUCUGAACUGGUGGUCAGGAUAAAUUCAUAUUGUUUUGUCUAGACAUGUACCACUACUUGUUUUCAGUUAUUCUUAAAUCAGAAAAGUCUAUUUAAAAAAAAUAGUCAGGUCUUCUCUCACUGGAUCCUCCAGAUAUUAAGCUUAAUAACUACUGUGGGAAGCUGAUACCAUGAAGCUGGGCACCAGGAACCUCGGAGGAUAUGUUCUGGUUUGAAUGACAACGGGUACCGUACAGAUUUGCUCCUCUUCUCUGCAUACGGCGGGGAAACCGAUGCAUUCCAAGAUUCUCUGGCAAACACAACUCAUGUCUGUCAUUUCGUUGCAAAACUCCAGCACCAAUUUAUUCUAGGGCCCUCAAAUAUUCCAGUACCCAAGGGAAACACCAAAAUGUGGGUUUCUUUGCUUCUUCUGAGUUUUGCAUAGACAGCAGCUAUUUUAAUGCAGUUCGUUCUUCUUUUUGUUCUUCAUUCCUUCUGUUGACUUCUUGAGUAAACAGUACCAGCUUCUCAAAAUUUAGAGGGUUGUCAAUGUGGUCUUGUCCACAGAUGCACAGAAAAUUGUUGUCUUUGCUUUGGGAUUUGAGCAGAUAUUUCUUGUAGAGAAAAGGCUACCUUCUUCCCAAGAGCAUCCUCAGCAGCAUGGAGGAGACAAAAAAAGAUCCCCAUGGACAUGGAGGAGACCAAAAAAGAUCCCCAUGGACAUGAGGCUGGCAGCUGACUCGUGACAAAUCCUGAACAAUAGUGGAGUCGAACACAUGAAUCUGGCAGAUGCCAAAUCUUUGCACAUAUGGGAUGGAAUCACCAAGACUUUCACAAUCCUUAUGUCCCCAUUCCGCAUUGGGGUUCAGGUGCCAGUGUCGCUUGGAGGCCAUGGACUCACCAUUGUAAGGGAUCGGAUUAUCUCAGCGAAAUGGGUGGCUGGGUAGCAGCAAGGCUAAAGCAUCCAGGAGCUGGAUUUACCCGGCUACACAGCGUAACUGUUGCCUCGCAAUGAAUCCAGAGAUGUGAUCUGUGAAGUCUCGGCAAAGGAUAGAAGAAAGAGGGACCUGCUUGGCCUGAAAAUAUAUUCAGUGUCUGUACAGGGACCCCCGGUGAUACAGCCUUCCCCACUGACCGUUCACGUUGGACCACCUAGAUUCCAAACUGGCAUCGGCGAGGAGGUUGGGGUCAGGAGGCACCGGGACAGCAUGCACAGAGCAGCGCUCCCCAGGCGCAGGCUGCAGCCACCGGGCCAGUCUUGUACCUUCCUGUAAGCACGCUGGCAGACAUCUCGGAUGUGAACGCCUGUCCAGAAGUGGAAUGGGACCACAGCCAGCAUUUGCACGCGUACUGCUGGUGCGUGUCCCGCAGCGGCAUGCAGGAGGCCGUCCUUCCUACGAUUGCGGGGAACGGAAACUAAUGGAAAUACACUUGAUAAUACUUGUUGGCUGAAGAGCUUACAUUAGCUGAUCUAGUACCUCCAAAUGCACACUUAGGAGAAGAUUUUUCUCAUGCUGAGCCACGGAAAGUUGAUGCUGAAUUGCAGUAACAGCAGAUGUUACCAGGACAGUCUCAAAAGUCUGAGGAGAAUGAGCUCUUUGUGACGGCUGGGGUUAACCCCAGCGUCUUCUCCACAUGUUUUCCUUGCAGGCCUUGAGGCAGCAGCUCACCUUCAGCUGAGUUUACCCUUUCUUGUUCUGUUUAAUCUUGCGAGACAAGUAGCUGUAUCUCCACCCUGCAGAGCAGAAAUGAUUGACCUUUGCGAUGUAUGAGAUCGUAGAGACGACACGUGGGUAAGGGCUGCGUGAAUGUGGGCUGAAAACAUGACUGGCUGGAGAGAGGGCUUUUUCAUCCUGAUCAGCUUGGGCUGGGAUUUUGACUGACUUUACAGACUAGGGGAUAAGGCAGUUGCUACUUAUAGACGCAUCUGAUCGUUCAUUGCCAAGAGGGUGUGCUGCCAUUCGGAUAAGGAAGAAGCAGAAGAAGAUGGAAAAGUGGCAGUUUCAUGUAAAACAGAAAAUGUGAUUUCAGUUCAGCUUAACAGACAGCACUGCCCGUAUAUCUGUGGCUUCAGAAGGUAUCUUCAUUUGAAAAAUACUCAUGCAGAACCGAUGUUGUUGCACUCCUGUCUCCGAAGAUCUGAAUCUCUGGAUAUAGGUCUGUGCAUUUUGACUUGUCUUGCGAAGGGAACUUGGCUGUGUUGGUGGAAAGAUAUGAAAGGCAGAAUACCUGGAGGUGUUGCUUUUGCAGCUGGUCCGAGCUCUGUGUUACAAAGCCCCCUCGCUGCCUGCACAGAACUGCACCAGACCUGAUGGGGCACUGGGCAGGGGGGUGCAGUCAGCGUGUCAGGAUUGAGCCUAUAGGUGUGCCGUACAGCCUGCAAGCACCGAGAGGGACAGAAAGGGCCGCUGUGCAGCGCGAUUUCUGAAACAACGGAGGGAACACACGUGUGGAACUGGAGAUGCUAGGAAAAAAAAGGAGUGAUCCUUCAAGAAAACCCUAACUGCUGCUGAAAACUGAGACCUGGAAAAGGAUGGAAUGUCACUGUUAUUUCCGGUCUGACACAGAAAUGAGGUUGGUUGUGAAGGAGUAAAAUAAAGGCAGAAGUUUAAAGAUCUAACAGUAAAUAUGCUGAAGGUCAUGGGACAUAAUAAACUCAACUCAACAAUUUAAUUCAACACAAAGAAUGCAUCUGUAUGCACUGAAUAGUAGGUAAGAAUUUGACAUGACGAGAUGGGAAGGCUUUGUUAUCCUCAUGUCUUGCCGGGAUUUGCUUCAAUUAUGCCAAAGAAUGUUACUUCAUUCUUGCCCUAAUAACACUGUAGAGGAAAUUAAAUUACUCAUAUAUAACAAAAGUGAACUGAUUUUGACAUCUCUUCUGGGCAAACCUCCUGCUGUAUUAGCUCCUGAGCACAUUCUCCCUCACUUAAGGUCUCAUGCAUAUGUAUGAUUAUCACUCAUAGUAAAUAUAAGCACUCUGUGAGAACGCAAAUUAACUGCAGGAUGUAAUGGAGGUCGCCAAGGGUAUUUUUUAUUGUUGACUGGCACAUGAAAUCUACAGUACGGGUGCAAUAAUGAAUGAGGCAUGUGAGAAAUAAUCCCAUCAAAGGGUGCUCUGACAUCAGGAACCACAACAGCAAACCUGAUGUCACUGGAACCUUGAGCUGCUUUUAUUGUGCAUAAAUUUUAUUUAAUUUUAAAAGGAGCUUUGGUUUAGCUUGAAAAUGUUCUUUAUAAACUCAUCGAUUGGUGAAAACUGUUAAAGGCUGUAGAGCUAAAAAAGAAUUAUUUUUAUUUUUUAAGGCCAAGAGACCUUAGCCUUUCGUUUUAGCUAGAUUAAUAACGGUGGGUUGUCUCUGAUGCGAUGGCUCUUUCUUAACGUUUGAUUGCUUUUUCAUUACAUUAGCUAGGUUUUGGAAAGUUUUUAUAGUAAAUUUAGCCUCCAGCAGUAAACCUCAUAACCUUGAAACUAACGUUGAACCCCGCAUGGCACAGACUGUUGCCUCAGUGAUCUGCUCUUGCAGGCUUUCAGUAGGAGGAAGCUAACUCGCUCCAGACAACGCAGCAUUUAAAACAAUGGAGCUUUAUUUUUAAAACCCAUCACUUUUCCCAGCCCAUUCCCAAUGCAGGUCUCAACCUUUGUUCUUUCCAGAAAACUGCCUCUUAUUUGACCUUUAAUUCGGCCGCAGCCCAGCAGCUCGGUGAGAGCUGGUUUUGAGGUGGAUGUUGCUGCAGUGUUUUCUUUCUUGAGCCUCAGGUUCUUCCUGUGAAGGGGGGAUGGACUUUCAGGGGCGUUGCGAUGCUUUUUGCUUUAAUCUCGGUGAAAGAACCAAGAAAGGCUGUGAGGAGAGCAGGGGCUGGUAAUUAGCAGAGGGGUAGGGAACAGCUCUGCCUGCCUUUUCCCAAGGAUCACAGCUCUGCUGUUGCUGGGAGCAGGAGACAAGUCCUCUUUGGCCCAUGAUGGAUCUCCCUGCACAGAGAGCUACGCUGCCGUAUCCGAGGCGUGUCAUCAUUAUAAAGGAAUGGAUCAAAGAAAAGCAGGCAGCAUAUAUAUUGCAGGCAUGGGAGGGGGAGGAGGAGGAAGGGAGUUGAACUUCCAUUGGAAAUGGCAAUGUCCUCUCCAUCCAUGAUAGAGUAGAUGAGAAAAACGGGAGAAAAAUGGAGACAGAUGUCCCUAGGUUAACUGUAACCUCACUUUGCUGCGUUCAGCAUCGUCCCUGCAAAGCACACGCAGGCCAGCUGCCCUGAGGUGGCAGAGAGCGACUGUCAAGGCGCCGUGUGUGGAGCCUGCAAGCGGGUCAGCCUGCUGCACCCCGGCCGCCACACAUCCGGGGCUAAACCCUUCUGAUGCAGCUUACAAAGAGUAACUCAAAUGCCAAGCAUUCUAGAAGACGUUUACAAAAUAAAUGAAAUAUAGAAACUAAUAGAGAAUGAAAUUUCUGCUCAUUUUACCCCUCAUCUUUCUUGUUUCUAAAGCAAAACGAGUCUGGCACGCAGCUGAUGGGAAACACAGUGUUUUAAUGACACUUACAGCAUCCCAGAGGACCAUUCAAAGCAACAAAAAAACCUGGUGAUGUCCUUUAAGACAGCAGAUGGUUUCUUCAAGAGGGACGGUGCUGACUUUGUCUGCUACAGUGGCCUCUGCUGGGACGCGUGCAAUGGGGUGGGAUGCUUCUUCCCAGCUGCUGGAAUGUGGCGGCGUCCUCCAAAAUGGAGCCAGGUAUCUGUCUCUUCUCCAGGGAAGUAUUAACUCCAAAUAGAAAUUCAAGUGUGACCUUUUCCACAGAUUUUCUUCUGGAAGGAUAGCGAAAAGGUCACAGCAGAAUGACAGGAGAAAGGUGCCCAUAGAUCAGCCAUACAAGCUGCUUUCAAAGCCACUUUUUGGCACAAAAAGAUAAAACAUAAUCAAAGACAGCAACUUUUUUUCCUUUUACCUGAAAGCCAU